AUGCCGAUAUUACUUGUAAUCAAUUUGUAAGUCUGAAUACAUCAAAUGGAGAGCAAAUAACUUUGUUAACGUAUACUUGUAUUGCUGCACAAUAUUGUUGCGUAGGUGGCUGUUGUCAAUUGUAUAACCUCUGGUACUUCUGGUUAAUUUUUGCAUUUUGUUUGAUAUUUUGCUGUACUGGAUCUUUCUAUUAUGGUUAUCGCAAAAAAAAAUCUUUGAAAGUUUGGCAAGCACCAAUGUUUGUAGAUAUGAGCUUAAAAGAACAACGAGAGAUAUGUGCGGAUUCUUUAAACUUCCAGGCUCAUCGCAUCUAAAAUAAUUUUUCUAUUCAAAAUAAUUUUACUAAUGAAAGAAGAAAAGUACUUAUUUGUUGGUGCAACGUCACGUUAUUGAAAUUGUAGUUACCAU
rnacentral:lncRNA from 1 species